UCUGGCGGCCGUAUCUGAUCUCAGAAGCCAAACAUGGCCGUGCCUGGUUAAUACUUAGAUGGGGGACCAACUUGGUAGACCAGGGGCCGCUAGCC
rnacentral:rRNA from 12 species